GUAGGGUGCGAGCGUUAAUCGGAAUUACUGGGCGUAAAGUGUGCGCAGGUGGCUGCGCAUGUCGAGUGUGAAAUCCCCGAGCUUAACUUGGGAAUUGCGCUCGAAACUACGUGGCUAGAGUGUGGCAGAGGAAGGUGGAAUUCCACGUGUAGCGGUGAAAUGCGUAGAGAUGUGGAGGAACACCGAUGGCGAAGGCAGCCUUCUGGGCCAACACUGACGCUCAUGCACGAAAGCGUGGGGAGCAAACAGGAUUAGAUACCCUGGUAGUCCACGCCCUAAACGAUGAUGACUAGUUGUUGGAGGAGUUAAAUCCUUUAGUAACGCAGCUAACGCGUGAAGUCAUCCGCCUGGGGUGUACGGUCGCAAGAUU
rnacentral:rRNA from 1 species